GACGAACGCUGGCGGCGUGCUUAACACAUGCAAGUCGAACGUGAUUUUUGUGGAAAUUCUUUCGGGAAUGGAAAUGAAAUGAAAGUGGCGAACGGGUGAGUAACACGUGAGCAACCUACCUUACACAGGGGGAUAGCCGUUGGAAACGACGAUUAAUACCGCAUGAGACCACAGAAUCGCAUGAUAUAGGGGUCAAAGAUUUAUCGGUGUAAGAAGGGCUCGCGUCUGAUUAGCUAGUUGGAAGGGUAAAGGCCUACCAAGGCGACGAUCAGUAGCCGGUCUGAGAGGAUGAACGGCCACAUUGGAACUGAGACACGGUCCAAACUCAGACGGGAGGAAGCAGUGGGGAAUAUUGCACAAUGGGGGGAACACUGAUGCAGCGACGCCGCGUGAGCGAAGAAGGUUUUCGAAUCGUAAAGCUCUGUCCUAUGAGAAGAUAAUGACGGUAUCAUAGGAGGAAGCCCCGGCUAAAUACGUG
rnacentral:rRNA from 1 species